rnacentral:lncRNA from 1 species
UCCUCAAUUUCUUUCUGAAUAUUUUCUUUAACUGCUUCGGGUAUGCGAUAGGCGGUUUGGCGAAGGGGGGUCUGGUCUAGGGUUUCAACUUUGUGACUGGUUAACGGACUGUACCCAGGUAGGUUGGAAAACGUGGCCCCCUUGUCCUGGAUUAGUCUUUGGACCUGGGUUCGCUCCUGGGGGUCUAACCGUUCUCCUAACUGUACUUCUCCCAGGUCUCCGCUCUGGCCCUCUAGGUCUAGGAGAUCUGGGAGUGGCAAAUUAUCAUAAUCUUCAGUGGCAGGUGCACAGAUCGCGGUUACCUCUUCCGUGCGCUCGUGGUAUGGCUUGAGCAUGUUCACAUGGAGCAUGCGCUUGCCUCCCGUGCCUGUGACCGCACCGAUUAAAAAGGUGGUAUCACAAACCUGCUCUACCACCUUGUAUGGGCCCUGCCAGGAAGCCUGCAGCUUGUCCUUGUGGACAGUGUCAAUCCAUAUCUGCCAAGUGACCCUAUGUAGGGGCAACACUCUCUAUUCUGCUCUGUGUCUGUGUAUCAUGGUCUCUGAGGACAGGUGUCAAUCCAUAUCUGCCAAGUGACCCUAUGUAGGGGUAACAGUCCCUAUUCUGCACUGUGUCAGUGUGUCAGUGUGUAUCAGGGACCCUUAGGACAGGUGUCAAUCCAUAUCUGCCAAGUGUAGGUGGAACAGUCCCUAUUCUGCUCUGUGUGAGGAGGAGGAAUGGGAAAUGAGUAGCUCGGCAUCCAACCUUGUGCAAAUGGGGUCUUUCAUGCUGUUGUGCCUGUUGAGGGACCCUCGUAUAAAAAGGAUGAAGGAGAACGACCUGUGCUGGGUGUCCACGCUACUAGACCCCCGGUAUAAGCAGACAGUGGCGGAAAUGUGACCGAAUUACAAGUCGGAAAGGAUGCAGCAUUUGCAAAAUAAAUUAAAAAGUAUGCUUUACACAGCGUAUAAGGGUGAUGUCACAGCACAACGGGAAUCUAACAGGGGAAGAGGUGAAAGUCAUCCUCCUCCUCCCACGACCACGCCAUAUCUGCCAAGUGACCCUAUGUAGGGGUAACAGUCCCUAUUCUGCUCUGUGUCAGUGUGUAUCAGGGGCUCUGAGGACAGGUGUCAAUCCAUAUCUGCCAAGUGACCCUAUGUAGGGGGAACAGUCUCUAUUCUGCUCUGUGUCAGUGUGUAUCAUGGUCUCUGAGGACAGGUGUCAAUCCAUAUCUGCCAAGUGACCCUAUGUAGGGGGAACAGUCCCUAUUCUGCUCUGUGUCAGUGUGUAUCAGGGAUCCUUAGGAUAGGUGUCAAUCCAUAUCUGCCAAGUCACCCUAUGUAGGGGGAACAGUCCCUUUUCUGCUCUGUGUCAGUGUGUAUCAGGGAUCCUGAGGAUAGGUGUCAAUCCAUAUCUGCCAAGUGACCCUAUGUAGGUACCAGUCCUUUUAUUCUGCUCUGUGUCAGUGUGUAUCAGGGGCUCUGAGGACAGGUGUCAACCAUAUCUCAAGCCAAGUGACCCUAUGUAGGGGAGAAAUAGCCCCUAUUCUGCUCUCUGUCAGUGUGUAUCAUGGUCUCUGAGGACAGGUGUCAAUCCAUAUCUGCCAUGUGACCCUAUGUAGAGGGAACAGUCUCUAUUCUGCUCUGUGUCAGUGUUUAUCAGGGAUCCUUAGGAUAGGUGUCAAUCCAUAUCUGCCAAGUGACCCUAUGUAGGGGGAACAGUCCCUAUUCUGCUCUGUCAGUGUAUAUCAGGGAUCCUUAGGAUAGGUGUCAAUCCAUAUCUGCCAAGUGACCCUAUGUAGGGGGAACAGUCUCUAUUCUGCUCUGUGUCAGUGUGUAUCAGGGGCUCUGAGGACAGGUGUCAAUCCAUAUCUGCCAAGUGACCCUAUGUAGGGGGAACAGUCCCUAUUCUGCUCUGUGUCAGUGUGUGUCAUGGUCUCUGAGGACAGGUGUCAAUCCAUAUCUGCCAAGUGACCCAAUGUAGGGGAACAGUCUCUAUUCUGCUCUGUGUCAGUGUGUAUCAUGUUCUCUGAGGACAGGUGUCAAUCCAUAUCUGCCAAGUGACCCUAAGUGGAGGAACAGUCUCUAUUCUGCUCUGUGUCAGUGUGUAUCAGGGGAUCUGAGGACAGGUGUCAAUCCAUAUCUGCCAAGUGACCCUAUGUAGGGGAACAGUCUCUAUUCUGCUCUGUGUCAGUGUGUAUCAUGAUCUCUGAGGACAGGUGUCAAUCCAUAUCUGCCAAGUGACCCUAUGUAGGGGGAACAGUCUCUAUUCUGCUCUCUGUCAGUGUGUAUCAUGGUCUCUGAGGACAGGUGUCAAUCCAUAUCUACCAAGUGACCCUAUGUAGGGGGAACAGUCCCUAUUAUACUCUGUGUCAGUGUUUAUCAGUGAUCCUUAGGAUAGGUAUCAAUCCAUAUCUGCCAAGUGACCCUAUGGAGGGGGAACAGUCUCUCUUCUCCUCUGUGUCAGUGUGUAUCAUGGUCUCUGAGGACAGGUGUCAAUCCAUAUCUGCCAAGUGACCCUAUGUAGGGGGAACAGUCCCUAUUCUGCUCUCUGUCAGUGUUUAUCAGGGAUCCUUAGGAUAGGUGUCAAUCCAUAUCUGCCAAGUGACCCUAUGUAGGGGGAACAGUCCCUAUUCUGCUCUGUGUCAGUGUGUAUCAGGGGCUCUGAGGACAGGUGUCAAUCCAUAUCUGCCAAGUGACCCUAUGUAGGGGAAACAGCCUCUAUUCUGCUCUGUGUCAGUGUGUAUCAUGGUCUCUCAGGACAGGUGAUUUAGGAGAACAGUCCCAUUCUGCUCUGUGUCAGUGUGUAUCAUGGUCUCUGAGGACAGGUGUCAAUCCAUAUCUGCCAAGUGACCCUAUGUAGGAGGAACAGUCUCUAUUCUGCUCUGUGUCAGUGUGUAUCAGGGAUCCUCUGAGGACAGGUGUCAAUCCAUAUCUGCCAAGUGACCCUAUGUAGGGGAAACAGUCUCUAUUCUGCUCUGUGUCAGUGUGUAUCAUGGUCUCUGAGGACAGGUGUCAAUCCAUAUCUGCCAAGUGACCCUAUGUAGGGGAACAGUCCCUAUUCUGCUCUGUGUCAGUGUGUAUCAGGGGCUCUGAGGACAGGUGUCAAUCCAUAUCUGCCAAGUGACCCUAUGUAGGAGGAACAGUCCCUAUUCUGCUCUGUGUCAGUGUGUAUCAUGGUCUCUGAGGACAGGUGUCAAUCCAUAUCUGCCAAGUGACCCUAUGUAGGGGGAACAGUCUCUAUUCUGCUCUGUGUCAGUGUGUAUCAGGGAUCUUAGGAUAGGUGUCAAUCCAUAUCUGCCAAGUGACCCUAUGUAGGGGGAACAGUCCCUAUUCUGCUCUGUGUCAGUGUGUAUCAGGGAUCUCUUAGGAUAGGUGUCAAUCCAUAUCUGCCAAGUGACCCUAUGUAGGGGAACAGUCUCUAUUCUGCUCUGUGUCAGUGUGUAUCAGGUCUCUGAGGACAGGUGUCAAUCCAUAUCUGCCAAGUGACCCAUGUAGGGGGAACAGUCUCUAUUCUGCUCUGUGUCAGUGUGUAUCAUGGGCUCUGAGGACAGGUGUCAAUCCAUAUCUGCCAAGUGACCCUAUGUAGGGGGAACAGUCUCUAUUCUGCUCUCUGUCAGUGUGUAUCAUGGUCUCUGAGGACAGGUGUCAAUCCAUAUCUGCCAAGUGACCCUAUGUAGGGGGAAGAGUCCCUAUUCUGCUCUAUGUCAGUGUUUAUCAGGGAUCCUUAGGAUAGGUAUCAAUCCAUAUCUGCCAAGUGACCCUAUGUAGGGGGAACAGUCCCUAUUCUGCUCUGUGUCAGUGUGUAGCAGGGAUCUUUAGGAUAGGUGUCAAUCCAUAUCUGCCAAGUGACCCUAUGUAGGGGUAACAGUCCCUAUUCUGCUCUGUGUCAGUGUGUAUCAGGGGCUCUGAGGACAGGUGUCAACCCAUAACUGCCAAGUGACCCUAUGUAGGGGGAACAGUCUCUAUUCUGCUCUCUGUCAGUGUGUAGCAUGGUCUCUGAGGACAGGUGUCAAUCCAUAUCUGCCAAGUGACCCUAUGUAGGGGGAACAGUCUCUAUUCUGCUCUGUGUCAGUGUGUAUCAUGGGCUCUGAGGGCAGGUGUCAAUCCAUAUCUGCCAAGUGACCCUAUGUUGGAGGAACAGUCCCUAUUCUGCUCUGUGUCAGUGUGUAUCAGGGACCCUUAGGAGAGGUGUCAAUCCAUAUCUGCCAAGUGUAGGGGGAACAGUCCCUAUUCUGCUCUGUGUGAGGAGGAGGAACGGGAAAUGAGUAGCUUGGCAUCCAACCUUGUGCAUAUGGGGUCUUUCAUGCUGUCGUGCCUGUUGAGGGACCCUCGUAUAAAAAGGCUGAAGGAGAACGACCUGUGCUGGGUGUCCACGCUACUAGACCCCCCGGAAUAAGCAGACAGUGGCGGAAAUGUUACCGAAUUACAAGUCAGAAAGGAUGCAGCAUUUGCAAAAUAAAUUAAAAAGUAUGCUUUACACAGCGUAUAAGGGUGAUGUCACAGCACAACGGGAAUCUAACAGGGGAAGAGGUGAAAGUCAUCCUCCUCCUCCCACAACCACGCCAUAUCUGCCAAGUGACCCUAUGUAGGGGUAACAGUCUCUAUUCUGCUCUGUGUCAGUGUGUAUCAGGGAUCCUUAGGAUAGGUGUCAAUCCAUAUCUCCCAAGUGACCCUAUGUAGGGGGAACAGUCCCUAUUCUGCUCUGUGUCCGUGUGCAUCAGGGGCUCUGAGGACAGGUGUCAAUCCAUAUGUCAAGGUGUCAAUAUGUCAUAUGUCAGGUGUCAAUCCAUAUUCAUUGUGAUUUAGGAAUGUUAGGUGAUUUCUGCCCUUUAUGGAAAACCAGACUCUGCAUCAACUGUGUAAUUUUCCAUGGGAGUUUUGCCAUGGAUCCCCCUCCGGUAUGCCACAGUCCAGGUGUUAGUCCCCUUGAAACAACUUUUCCAUCACUAUUGUGGCCAGAAAGAGUCCCUGUGUUUUAAAAUUCGCCUGCCCAUUGAAGUCUAUGGCGGUUCGCCCAGUUCGCGAACAUUUGCGGAAGUUCGCGAACCGAAAAUUUCGUGUUCGCGACAUCACUAGUGAAGUGUUAUGUGUGGAGUGUUUCCCUUUUCAUUUUACAAAAUGAGCAUAUAUCAAUAGAAAAUUGCACUUUUAUAAAUGAACCUUGGCCUUUACUGAGUGUAAAACUGCAGCAUUCGAGAACUGCAUAAUUUCACAAUGUUCAAUAGGUAGCACAAUGGCAACCAGGGCUCCCACCAGAAAUUCUGGGGCCUCUCACACAGCCCCAGAAUUUCUGGUGGUCUGCCCAGAAGGAUAGUGUGUUUGUGUGGUAGGAUAUGGGCUGUGUUACAUCUUAUUCCCCUCACAAGGCGACAUUACACUCCCUGGUGGUCCACUGGCAUCGUGAAGGCUGCUAGCUGUCUUGUAUAGUUGAGAAGGGGGGGGGAGAAUGUUACAUGGCAUUUUACACUUCCGACAGGCAGCAAGUCCUUUUGUGAGCCCAGCAUGCGUGUAAUUGCUGUGGUAACAAGUGGCUUGCAAGAGGAUCUGUCAGAGGUGGAACUAGGAGUCUCCUGGGACCCCUUUUCGCAUGCAAGUAGUGACCAAUGGGCUCGCAGCAGAGUGUGUGAGUAUUUUAUAUAUAUAUAUAUAUAUAUAUAUAUAUAUAAAAAAGGAAAAAAAUAAUCCUGCACUCCAUGAAAUUCAAAAUAUUGUCAGGCGAAAAUACUCAAUGGAUAAUCCAGAUAGCACUCCUAGGACUUAAAAUAAGUAUAAAACCUAACUUUUAAUUUACUUUAUAAAUAAAUCGACAUUUGUCUGUUACAACAGACUUUCAUCAGGUCCUAAUGACACAAUGCAAAUUAGUAGUGUUUGUUGCAUUUAUACAUAAUAUAUUAAAGGGACACUAUAGUCACCUAAAUUACUUUAGCUAAAUAAAGCAGUUUUAGUGUAUAGAUCAUUCCCCUGCAAUUUCACUGCUCAAUUCACUGUCAUUUAGGAGUUAAAUCACUUUGUUUCUGUUUAUGCAGCCCUAGCCACACCUCCC